GACGAACCGAGCGAACGUUGUUCGGAAUCACUGGGCUUAAAGGGCGCGUAGGCGGCAUGACAAGUCACUUGUGAAAUCUCCGGGCUUAACUCGGAACGGCCAAGUGAUACUGUCGCGCUAGAGUGCAGAAGGGGCAAUCGGAAUUCUUGGUGUAGCGGUGAAAUGCGUAGAUAUCAAGAGGAACACCUGCGGCGAAGGCGGGUUGCUGGGCCGACACUGACGCUGGAGGCGCGAAAGCGUGGGGAGCAAACAGG
rnacentral:rRNA from 1 species